UUCAAAAAAAGAAAUCACUGCCCAAAGACAGCCUCCCAAGUUCUCUGAAACGUUUAGAGAUCUACCAAUGUUCUGCAUUCGAAUCCCUGCCCAAGGAAGGACUGCCUAGUUCUCUGCCAAACCUAACGAUCUGGGACUGUCCUGCUUUCAAAUCGCUGCCCAAGGACAGCCUCCCAACUUCUCUGCAAUAUCUAAGGAUCUGGGACUGUCCUGCCUUGACAUCGCUACCCAAGGAUGGCCUCCCAAGUUCACUGCGGGAGUUAACUCUCCGGUCUGGCAACAGCGAGGAGCUAAUGAGGCAGUGCCGCAAGUUAAAGGGAACCAUUCCAAUAAUCGAAGACUAAUCCAAGGCUCUUCUUGGGUUUGUAUGUUCUGCUAGACUGGUACAUAUUCUCUCUGCAUCCAAGUACAGUUUGAGGUUCCAGUGCAAGCAUCAAGACCCAAUUUUGUGUCUUCCAUCCUGUACAUAAAAUCGACGGAAAAGGCUGUCCCGGUGCGGAGCAGAUUGACGGAUCCUGGUGCCAUGUGCCCUUGCUCUGCUGUCAUGUUACUCCCUCCGUCUGGAAAUACUUGUCGUAGAAAUGCUUAAAAAUGGAUGUAUCUAAGAACUAAAAUACGUCUAGAUACAUCCUUUUUCCGACAAGUAUUUCCGGACGGAGAGAGUACAUAUCUGGCCUUUCUUCUUAGUUGUUAAUCUGUCGUUGAUCAGUGCAGCCUUGGAGAGAGGUUCAGCCUAGAGACAGAAAAAAAAGGGAAUAUCACAGUGCUCAAAGUGGAUACGGAUGUUUUUAUUCUGAUUUUGAGGGUAAACAGCUCGAUGUGGCUGGCACUC